GGGAGGCAGCAGUAGGGAAUCUUCCGCAAUGGACGAAAGUCUGACGGAGCAACGCCGCGUGAGUGAUGAAGGUUUUCGGAUCGUAAAACUCUGUUGUUAGGGAAGAACAAGUCGGGUAGUAACUGACCCGGCCUUGACGGUACCUAACCAGAAAGCCCCGGCUAACUACGUGCCAGCAGCCGCGGUAAUACGUAGGGGGCAAGCGUUGUCCGGAAUUAUUGGGCGUAAAGCGCUCGCAGGCGGUCCUUUAAGUCUGAUGUGAAAUCUCGCGGCUCAACCGCGAACGGUCAUUGGAAACUGGAGGACUUGAGUACAGAAGAGGAGAGUGGAAUUCCACGUGUAGCGGUGAAAUGCGUAGAGAUGUGGAGGAACACCAGUGGCGAAGGCGACUCUCUGGUCUGUAACUGACGCUGAGGAGCGAAAGCGUGGGGAGCGAACAGGAUUAGAUACCCUGGUAGUCCACGCCGUAAACGAUGAGUGCUAGGUGUUAGGGGGUUUCCGCCCCUUAGUGCUGAAGUUAACGCAUUAAGCACUCCGCCUGGGGAGUACGGCCGCAAGGCUGAAACUCAAAAGAAUUGACGGGGGCCCGCACAAGCGGUGGAGCAUGUGGUUUAAUUCGAAGCAACGCGAAGAACCUUACCAGGUCUUGACAUCCUCUGCUAUUCCUAGAGAUAGGAAGUUCCCUUCGGGGACAGAGUGACAGGUGGUGCAUGGUUGUCGUCAGCUCGUGUCGUGAGAUGUUGGGUUAAGUCCCGCAACGAGCGCAACCCUUGAUCUUAGUUGCCAGCAUUAAGUUGGGCACUCUAAGGUGACUGCCGGUGACAAACCGGAGGAAGGUGGGGAUGACGUCAAAUCAUCAUGCCCCUUAUGACCUGGGCUACACACGUGCUACAAUGGAUGGAACAAAGGGAAGCAAAACCGCGAGGUCAAGCAAAUCCCAUAAAACCAUUCUCAGUUCGGAUUGCAGGCUGCAACUCGCCUGCAUGAAGCCGGAAUCGCUAGUAAUCGCGGAUCAGCAU
rnacentral:rRNA from 1 species